CUUCACCGACCCCAGCCACAGGGGUCGUUCACGGUUCUGGCCGUAGGUGGCGAGCAGCGCCUGGGCCUC
rnacentral:antisense_RNA from 1 species